rnacentral:rRNA from 1 species
GAUGAACGCUGGCGGCGUGCCUAAUACAUGCAAGUCGAGCGAACAGACGAGGAGCUUGCUCCUCUGACGUUAGCGGCGGACGGGUGAGUAACACGUGGAUAACCUACCUAUAAGACUGGGAUAACUUCGGGAAACCGGAGCUAAUACCGGAUAAUAUAUUGAACCGCAUGGUUCAAUAGUGAAAGACGGUUUUGCUGUCACUUAUAGAUGGAUCCGCGCCGCAUUAGCUAGUUGGUAAGGUAACGGCUUACCAAGGCGACGAUGCGUAGCCGACCUGAGAGGGUGAUCGGCCACACUGGAACUGAGACACGGUCCAGACUCCUACGGGAGGCAGCAGUAGGGAAUCUUCCGCAAUGGGCGAAAGCCUGACGGAGCAACGCCGCGUGAGUGAUGAAGGUCUUCGGAUCGUAAAACUCUGUUAUUAGGAAGAACAAAUGUGUAAGUAACUAUGCACGUCUUGACGGUACCUAAUCAGAAAGCCACGGCUAACUACGUG